GGGGAUGCAUUGCAUCGACAGAAUUGUUCUUUAAAAACUGCAAGCCGACAAUGAUUCAAAGUCGUAAACCUGAAUCAAAAAUAAAUGCUAGGAACUUUCUUAGCGGUCAAAGUCUUGCGCGCGCAAAUCUUGCGUACGCUUACAACUAAGACCUGUUCGUACCACUAUUUUUCCAAACGAUAAGGUACGGGCAAAAACAAAGUUUGGAUAUGAUAAUAGUUUUGGUUUAUGAAGAAGCUUGUAGAUGUUUUUAUAGAUGCAGUUUUGGACGGGAGGUCAUUCCUCCCCAUCUCCACAA
rnacentral:tmRNA from 1 species